GGCUUUAUACCGUAUACGCCCUUCGGGGGAAAGAUUUCGGUGAAGGAUCGGCCCGCGUUAGAUUAGAUAGUUGCUGGGUAACGGCCUACCAAGUCUACGAUCUAUAGCUGGUUUUAGAGAUGAUCACCAACACUGGGAUUGAGACACGGCCCAGACUCCUACGGGAGGCAGCAGUGGGGAAUCUUAGACAAUGGGCGCAAGCCUGAUCUAGCCAUGCCGCGUGAGUGAUGAAGGCCUUAGGGUCGUAAAGCUCUUUCGCCAGGGAUGAUAAUGACAGUACCGGUAAAGAAACCCCGGCUAACUCCGUGCCAGCAGCCGCGGUAAUACGGAGGGGGUUAGCGUUGUUCGGAAUUACUGGGCGUAAAGCGCGCUAGGCGGAUUGGAAAGUUGGGGGUGAAAUCCCAGGGCUCAACCGUGGAACUGCCUCCAAAACUAUCAGUCUAGAGUUAGAGAGAGGUGAGUGGAACUCCGAGUGUAGAGGUGAAAUUCGUAGAUAUUCGAAGAACACCAGUGGCGAAGGCGGCUCACUGGCUCCAACUGACGCUGAGGUGCGAAAUGUGGGGAGCAAACAUGAUUAGAUACCCUGGUAGCCACACCGUAAACGAUGAAUCCCAGUCGUCGGAUAGCAUCCUAUUCGGUGACACACCUAACGGAUAAAGCAUUCCGCCUGGGGAGUACGGUCGCAAGAUUAAAACUCAAAGGAAUGACGGGGGCCCGCACAAGCGGUCGGCAUGUGGUU
rnacentral:rRNA from 1 species